UCGUCAGUCGUACUGUGUAAGACAUACCUCGUUAAGUCAGGCAACGAGCGAGACCCACGCCCACAGUUGCCAGCGUACUCUCUGGAGUGACGGGUACACUGUGGGGACCGCCGCUGCUAAAGCGGAGGAAGGAAUGGGCAACGGUAGGUCAGUAUGCCCCGAAUAUCCCGGGCUACACGCGAGCUACAAUGGUUGGUACAAUGGGUAUCUACCCCGAAAGGGGACGGGAAUCUCCUAAAACCAAUCUUAGUUCGGAUUGAGGGCUGCAACUCGCCCUCAUGAAGCUGGAAUCCGUAGUAAUCGCGUUUCAACAGAACGCGGUGAAUACGUCCCUGCUCCUU
rnacentral:rRNA from 1 species